GUCCGACGAUACAGGGUGAUAGUCCCGUAGUUGACGACGUGUGUUCAGUGAAAUCGAGUAGGGCGGGACACGUGAUAUCCUGUCUGAAUAUGGGGGGACCAUCCUCCAAGGCUAAAUACUACUGACUGACCGAUAGUGAACCAGUACCGUGAGGGAAAGGCGAAAAGAACCCCUGUGAGGGGAGUGAAAUAGAACCUGAAACCGUGUACGUACAAGCAGUAGGAGCAGGCUUUGUCCUGUGACUGCGUACCUUUUGUAUAAUGGGUCAGCGACUUAUAUUCAGUGGCAAGGUUAACCAUCUAGGGGAGCCGUAGGGAAACCGAGUCUUAACUGGGCGUUCAGUCUCUGGAUAUAGACCCGAAACCAGGUGAUCUAGCCAUGGGCAGGUUGAAGGUUGAGUAACAUCAACUGGAGGACCGAACCGACUAAUGUUGAAAAAUUAGCGGAUGACUUGUGGCUAGGGGUGAAAGGCCAAUCAAACCUGGAGAUAGCUGGUUCUCCCCGAAAGCUAUUUAGGUAGCGCCUCGGACGAAUACUACUGGGGGUAGAGCACUGUUAAGGCUAGGGGGUCAUCCCGACUUACCAACCCUUUGCAAACUCCGAAUACCAGUAAGUACUAUCCGGGAGACACACGGCGGGUGCUAACGUCCGUCGUGGAGAGGGAAACAACCCAGACCGCCAGCUAAGGUCCCAAAUUACUACUAAGUGGGAAACGAUGUGGGAAGGCUCAGACAGCCAGGAUGUUGGCUUAGAAGCAGCCAUCAUUUAAAGAAAGCGUAAUAGCUCACUGGUCGAGUCGGCCUGCGCGGAAGAUGUAACGGGGCUAAGUA
rnacentral:rRNA from 1 species